ACGCUGGCGGCGUGCCUAAUACAUGCAAGUAGAACGCUGAAGAGAGGAGCUUGCUCUUCUUGAAUGAGUUGCGAACGGGUGAGUAACGCGUAGGUAACCUGCCUUGUAGCGGGGGAUAACUAUUGGAAACGAUAGCUAAUACCGCAUAACAAUGGGUGACACAUGUCAUUUAUUUGAAAGGGGCAAUUGCUCCACUACAAGAUGGACCUGCGUUGUAUUAGCUAGUAGGUGAGGUAACGGCUCACCUAGGCGACGAUACAUAGCCGACCUGAGAGGGUGAUCGGCCACACUGGGACUGAGACACGGCCCAGACUCCUACGGGAGGCAGCAGUAGGGAAUCUUCGGCAAUGGGGGCAACCCUGACCGAGCAACGCCGCGUGAGUGAAGAAGGUUUUCGGAUCGUAAAGCUCUGUUGUAAGUCAAGAACGAGUGUGAGAGUGGAAAGUUCACACUGUGACGGUAGCUUACCAGGAAGGGACGGCUAACUACGUGCCAGCAGCCGCGGUAAUACGUAGGUCCCGAGCGUUGUCCGGAUUUAUUGGGCGUAAAGCGAGCGCAGGCGGUUUGAUAAGUCUGAAGUUAAAGGCUGUGGCUCAACCAUAGUUCGCUUUGGAAACUGUCAAACUUGAGUGCAGAAGGGGAGAGUGGAAUUCCAUGUGUAGCGGUGAAAUGCGUAGAUAUAUGGAGGAACACCGGUGGCGAAAGCGGCUCUCUGGUCUGUAACUGACGCUGAGGCUCGAAAGCGUGGGGAGCGAACAGGAUUAGAUACCCUGGUAGUCCACGCCGUAAACGAUGAGUGCUAGGUGUUGGAUCCUUUCCGGGAUUCAGUGCCGCAGCUAACGCAUUAAGCACUCCGCCUGGGGAGUACGACCGCAAGGUUGAAACUCAAAGGAAUUGACGGGGGCCCGCAC
rnacentral:rRNA from 1 species